rnacentral:lncRNA from 1 species
CCUCCUCCUCCUCCUGUCGGCGCCUUGUUCGGGCUCCAGCUCCAGCUCCUUCGUCCCCUCCACCACCUUCUCCUCCAACCUCCGGUUCGCUUUCAGUGAGAUCCAGAAGCUCACGUCGCUGAUCUCCGGCUCGUCCGGCGUCCUGGGCGGCAACCUCCGCCUCUCCUCGGCCAUCCAUGACUGCCUAGACCUCCUCGACUUCUCCGCUGACGAGCUCACCUGGACCCUCUCCGUCGUCAAUGACCAGCGCGUGAAGACCCCUGCCACCGGGAACCACCGUUACGACAUCCGCUCCUGGCUCAGCGCCGCUGUCGGCAACCAGGACACCUGCAAGGAAGGCCUCGACAGCGCCGGCGGCCCCCUCGGAGGCCUCGCUGCCGGCGGGCUCAAGAUCGUCAGCUCACUCAUUGCCAACAGCCUCCACGAGGUUGCCGCAUCGUCGGGCGGCGGGGGUGGGGGUCGGAGGCUCCUGGGGUUCCCGGAAUGGGUGUCGGCCGGGGACAGGAGGCUUCUGCAGACGCCGGCACCGGUGGAGCCCGACGCGGUGGUGGCGCAAGACGGGAGCGGGGACUACACGUCGAUAGGGGCCGCGGUGGAGGCGGCGCCGAGUGAGAGCGAGAGCAGGUACGUGAUCUACGUGAAGAAGGGGGUGUACAUGGAGAACGUGGAGGUCAAUAAGAAGAAGUGGAACCUGAUGCUCGUCGGAGACGGCAUCGACCAAACCAUCAUCUCCGGCAGCCGGAGCGUCGCCGCUGGCUGGACUACCUUUCGCAGCGCCACCGUCGGUGAGCUAAAUCCAUCUCUGGUUCUACGUAUCUUUUCCUGAGGUCAACAAGGACCCCAGCUAAAAACGUCGCCCGGUUUGCACCGACUCACGACCUGUCGACUCACCGUGUACGUGCAUGCAUGCAGCCGCGACCGGAAGGGGUUUCAUCGCCCGGGACCUGACGAUCGAGAACACGGCGGGGCCGCAGGGCAACCAGGCGGUCGCCUUCCGCUCCGGCUCCGACCUCUCAGUCUUCUACCGCUGUGGCUUCUCCGGCUACCAGGACACGCUGUACCCGCACUCCCUCCGACAAUUCUACCGCGAGUGCCGCAUCGCCGGCACCGUCGACUUCAUCUUCGGCGACGCUGCCGUCGUCUUCCAGAGCUGCGACGUCCUCUCCCGACUCCCCAGCCCCGGUCAGAUCAACACCAUCACCGCGCAGGGCCGCCGAGACCCCGACGAGAGCACGGGCUUCUCCUUCCAGUUCUGCAACGUCUCGGCCGACGCGGACCUGAUCGGCAACACCGACCGAACGGCCACGUACCUCGGCCGGCCAUGGAGGCAGUACUCCCGGACCGUCUUCAUGCAGUCUUUUCUGGACACGUUGAUCAGGCCAGAGGGGUGGGUGGAGUGGAACGGCAACACGGUCGGGCUGGACACACUGUACUACGCCGAGUACAUGAACGACGGGCCAGGCUCAGGGUUGGAGGGACGAGUCAACUGGCCGGGUUACCACGCUAUCAGUGACCCAGCGGAGGCCG